rnacentral:rRNA from 1 species
AUUGAACGCUGGCGGCAGGCCCAGCACAUGCAAGUCGAACGGUAGCAGGAAGAAGCUUGCUUCUUUGCUGACGAGUGGCGGACGGGUGAGUAAUGUCUGGGAAACUGCCUGAUGGAGGGGGAUAACUACUGGAAACGGUAGCUAAUACCGCAUAACGUCGCAAGACCAAAGAGGGGGACCUUCGGGCCUCUUGCCAUCAGAUAUGCCCAGAUGGGAUUAGCUAGUAGGUGGGGUAACGGCUCACCUAGGCGACGAUCCCUAGCUGGUCUGAGAGGAUGACCAGCCACACUGGAACUGAGACACGGUCCAGACUCCUACGGGAGGCAGCAGUGGGGAAUAUUGCACAAUGGGCGCAAGCCUGAUGCAGCCAUGCCGCGUGUGUGAAGAAGGCCUUCGGGUUGUAAAGCACUUUCAGCGGGGAGGAAGGGGGAAUGGUUAAUAACCUCACCGAUUGACGUUACCCGCAGAAGAAGCACCGGCUAACUCCGUGCCAGCAGCCGCCGUAA